AGCUUUGCGCAGUGGCAGUAUCGUUGCCAAUGAGGUUUAUCCGAGGCGCGAUUAUUGCUAAUUGAAAAAAAAUGCUGCCAAUUAAAUUAUAAUAAUGUUUUUUUUAAAGUUUGACACAUUUAUUGCUGUUUACUAAAG
rnacentral:snRNA from 1 species